rnacentral:rRNA from 1 species
GAUGAACGCUGGCGGCGUGCCUAAUACAUGCAAGUCGAGCGAAUGGAUUGAGAGCUUGCUCUUAUGAAGUUAGCGGCGGACGGGUGAGUAACACGUGGGUAACCUGCCCAUAAGACUGGGAUAACUCCGGGAAACCGGGGCUAAUACCGGAUAACAUUUUGAACCGCAUGGUUCGAAAUUGAAAGGCGGCUUCGGCUGUCACUUGUGGAUGGACCCGCGUCGCAUUAGCUAGUUGGUGAGGUAACGGCUCACCAAGGCAACGAUGCGUAGCCGACCUGAGAGGUGGAUCGGCCACACUGGGACGGAGACACGGCCCAGACUCCUACGGGAGGCAGCAGUAGGGAAUCUUCCGCAAUGGACGAAAGUCUGACGGAGCAACGCCGCGUGAGUGAUGAAGGCUUUCGGGUCGUAAGACUCUGUUGUUAGGGAAGAACAAGUGCUAGUUGAAUAAGCUGGCACCUUGACGGUACCUAACCAGAAAGCCACGGCUAACUACGUGCCAGCAGCCGCGGUAA